AUACGGAGGGUGCAAGCGUUGUUCGGAAUCACUGGGCGUAAAGGGCGCGCAGGCGGUUUGGUAAGUCAGAUGUGAAAGCCCAUGGCUCAACCAUGGAAGUGCAUUUGAAACUGUCAGACUUGAGUACUAGAGGGGAAAGUGGAACUCCCGGUGUAGAGGUGAAAUUCGUAGAUAUCUGGAGGAAUACCGGUGGCGAAGGCGACUUUCUGGCUAGAUACUGACGCUGAGGCGCGAAAGCGUGGGGAGCAAACAGGAUUAGAUACCCUAGUAGUCC
rnacentral:rRNA from 1 species